CCUACGGGAGGCUGCAGUGAGGAAUAUUGGUCAAUGGGCUUACGCCUGAACCAGCCAAGUCGCGUGAGGGAAGACUGCCCUAUGGGUUGUAAACCUCUUUUGUCAGGGAGCAACGCCGGCUACGUGUAGCCGGACUGAGAGUCCCUGAAGAAAAAGCAUCGGCUAACUCCGUGCCAGCAGCCGCGGUAAUACGGAGGAUGCGAGCGUUAUCCGGAUUUAUUGGGUUUAAGGGGUGCGUAGGCGGAAUGCCAAGUCAGCGGUAAAAUCGCGGGGCUAAACCCCGCUCCGCCGUUGAAACUGGCGGUCUUGAGUGGGCGAGAGGUAUGCGGAAUGCGUGGCGUAGCGGUGAAAUGCAUAGAUAUCACGCAGAACUCCGAUUGCGAAGGCAGCAUACCGGCGCCCAACUGACGCUGAAGCACGAAAGCGUGGGUAUCGAACAGGAUUAGAUACCCCAGUAGUC
rnacentral:rRNA from 1 species